rnacentral:misc_RNA from 1 species
CUUCGACUUAAGAUGAACCAUAGAACUAAAUGGAUAGAUAGAUAGAUAAAGAAUAGUGAGUAGUCUGUCACCAUAGAACAUAGAACAAAGCUUAUAAUGAAUACUGAGACUAACGCAUAUAUGCUAACUUGACUCGUUGUUUAAUGAUGUUAAAUGAUGUGCGCCAUAGAUGAAGACAACUGACAAACUGAUGUGCACAGCUGAUGUGCGCAAGUUAGUUUGAGGUUACGUUAAGCAAAGUGUGGCGAACCAUAGAGAAAGUAAAAUAUUUUUUAUUUUUUAAAAUUAUUUUACUUACUCUAUGGUGGCGAACUCUAUCCGCCACUUCUCAACUGGCAGCAGAGACCACAAAAUAUCCCCCUUUCAGAGAAAUAGUAUACUAUUUACUCUGAGUAUGAAAUGAUGAUCAUUAUGGGGUUUCAGUGUUAUGCCUAAUAAGCCUUGUUCUAUGGUGUUAUGUGAGUGAAUUAGAAGCUAACUUGUGUGCCAAUAAAACCAGCCUCCUGUAAAGAAGUGUUUUCACUCAGUGACAGUGCUCAAUAAAUAUGGGAAGUGGACAGUUCAGACAAUAAGAAAGGAUGGCUUGAGAUCGAGCCAAGAAGCAAAUUGGAUCAAAUAAUGUACGAUAUUGUUCAACGGCAAAAAGAGGAAGUUUCAUAUUCCUGCAGUCAAUGCACCGUUAUCAUGCCGAAUAAAAAACAUUACAUAAUGCACAUGUUGACCACACAUACCACAUUCAGCGAAGAUACCAGAUUAAUUCAUUUGUGCUAUUUGUGCAAUUUCCAGACCGACCACAAGCAACAAUUGAAGAAACACAUAGAAUUUUAUCAUAUGCAAAAAGUUAAGUUGAACUGCCCUUUUUGUUCCUUCGCAUCAUGUUAUGCAUUGAAUUUGAGACGUCACAUUUCCAUUCAUGAAGAUAUGCAGAACUUAACUUGCUUUCAUUCUCAGUGCGAUUUUAAGACCAGUUACAAGCAUUCUUUACAAAGGCAUGAGUUGAAAAUGCAUAAAAACCAGUGCUCUGUCUGCCAUUACAAAAGCAGGACUCGCAGUUUAGUCCAAAAACAUCUUAGAACUGAGCAUGGCAUGUACGAACAAUUUCAGUGCAUGAAAUGCAAAUUUAAAACGUUUCAAUUUAUGACACUACGAAGGCACAACGCCAAGGAUCACAGAAAAAGAUCGAAAAGCAAAUUUACAAUGGUUAGAAAAACCCAAAACGAAUUGACCAUGGAAGAAGCAGAGGAAGUCAAGAGUUUGUUUAAGGACAUUGUACUUACUGUAAUGUAACGCAAACACUGAAAACACAUUUGUAUACAGUCGGCGUCACAUAAAAUUACACGAUUGAAUAGAUGUUGUGUAAAUCUGA